ACAAAGGUACCAGCAGCAAGAAACACCAUUCAAGUAUAUUCAGUGCCUCUGCCUGCAACAAAUUCAUUAGCAUCCUACUAAGCAAACAAGUCACAUGGCUUAGCCCAAAGUUAGCAAGGUACUCCCCAAACCCAGCAGUCUGAGAAUGAAGCAGAAACAUUCGACUAGAAGCAGGAGAGGACACCCUGAUUCAGCAAGCAUGGCUGACAGUAGGAAAUCCCCAGUUUUGACGUGCAGUGACUUAAUGAGACACAUCGAGGGAGCAGGGAAAUGGAAGACCCGAUGGAAUAGAAUAUAAACCAGUUGAAAGCAGACUGUUUGGUCUGAGAAUAUCAUUUCAAAUCAUAGGUAUCUUGUCAGACUGCACUGUCCGUGGGCACCUGCAGUGGGUUCUGACUUAACCCUUAUAGAACUGUCUGCCUCCCGUACCUUUUUCCAUUUGGAAUCGCGUCAAUCAGUUUUACAGCUGAAAGCAGUGACGUGCUGACAGAAGGUACAGCUAAUUAGAAAUUAAUCAAAAUGAUUAACCUCUGCACUGCUUCAGUAAAUGAAUCACUUUAAAAGAUGUCAGUGGAAAGCCCCAGGAGACCGGUUUAGGAGCCCAGCAGUCAGCACCUGCAACCGCUCAGGAAGGCAGCAAUUUGAAACCAAGAAUGUUCUUCAAAAUCGCCUGAGGGAUUUAAAUAUACACAGACCUGGAGUCCAUGCUAGAACUCCCAAAGAAGAAUUUUCAAGUUGAAUGAGAAAAGCAAGUGAAAGAAUGGAUACACUAGAAAGAGCAUUCCCACAGAAGAGGAGUGAAAGUUAACCAGCAACAGAAGGAAGUCCCAAGAUGACCACCAAGCAAGAAGUCUAGAGAGCAAAUGAUUCAGAUUGGAGCUGGAGGGCAAAGGACUUCAGGAGGAAUACCUCCAAGAAAAAGUAAAAGUCCAUAGAUACUGCUUAUGAUUGAAUAAUCAAGAAAACAGGAUACCCAUGUGAUUCAGAAACUAGAGGUUGCACAGGGGUGGACCACUGCAGGAUGUUAUGACUUAACCCUUGAAGAACUGGGUGCCACUUAUUAGGUAUUAUGAAUACCUGGAAGGUAACACAGUUGUCACCCUCAAGGAGCUUAGACUGGUGGUCAUGAAUGGUGAAUACGAUGCCUGUAUGUAUACAAGGGGAGAUGAUUCCACUCUGGACAAAUGGGUUGUAGUAAUAAAGUACAGAAAUGUGUGAAUUAUUUGAGAAAUUAAAUAUAGUUCAGUUUGAUGGAUUACAGGUUUCAUUGAAUAGUUUGAUAAUGCUAAAUCCAAGUUUCUCUACCUUGUAUAGGAAAACAUUCAAUGUCUUUCUUUGUCUUUUUCUUCCUUCCUUUUGUUGUUUUUUUUCUUAAUAAACUUGCAUUUAAUCCCCAAGUCACAAUUUAUAUACUCUAAUGGGCUCAUUAUAUUAGUGUGAUUUUUUUUUGUAUCAUCAGAAAGAGGAGAUUUAACAAGAUUCUAAAUUCCUAAGUAACUAACUAACCACAAACUGAAAUGCAAAAGGGUAUUUGGAGCUACUAUCUCAAAUUACAUUUUUUUUUUCACCCUGAACUCCAAUGUAAAGUUCUUUUCCCUACUGAAUCAGUCUGGGAUGGACAGUAUGUGGGCUAUGAUGAUUCUUUUUAACACUCUAUCUUGAGUCUUUGGUCUCUUUCCCCAAGCCCAUACCCUAAUUCUGAACUCAUGGAAAAAGAAGUGUUUUUCCCUGAGAUUAGAACAAAGUUGGUACAUUCAUUCAACCCCAGGCCUUCCCAGAGCAGGAAAAGCCUUAGAACCACAAGAUAGCACGGCUUAGUGGUUGCCAUUAUCACUCUGAAGAUGGAGAGAUCUGGAUUCUAAGGCCAAUUCUGCAUGUUUGACCUUGAGAAAGUUGUUUACUCUCCUGUCCUUCAAUUUCUUCUUUUAUAGCUAAUAAAUAAUACUUAUUAAACACUUACUAU